GCCCGGGUAGCUCAGUCUGGCAGAGCAGCUCACUCGUAAUGAGCAGGUCGUCGGUUCGAAUCCGACCUCGGGCU
rnacentral:tRNA from 1 species